GAUGAACGCUAGCGGCAGGCUUAAUACAUGCAAGUCGUGGGGCAGCGCAGUGUAGCAAUACAUGGGCGGCGACCGGCAAACGGGUGCGUAACACGUACGCAACCUUCCCGUUACUGGGGAAUAGCCCAGGGAAACUUGGAUUAAUACCCCAUAUUAUAUUGAUUGGGCAUCUAAUUAAUAUCAAAGCUUCGGCGGUAACGGAUGGGCGUGCGGUUGAUUAGGUAGUUGGCGGGGUAACGGCCCACCAAGCCUACGAUCAAUAGCUGAUGUGAGAGCAUGAUCAGCCACACGGGCACAGAGACACGGGCCCGACUCCUACGGGAGGCAGCAGUAAGGAAUAUUGGGCAAUGGACGAAAGUCUGACCCAGCCAUGCCGCGUGGAGGAUGAAGGUCCUCUGGAUUGUAAACUUCUUUUUUCUGGGGCGAAAACCGGUUUUUCUAAACCAUUUGACAGUACCAGAAGAAUAAGCACCGGCUAACUCCGUGCCGGCAGCCGCCGCGGUAA
rnacentral:rRNA from 1 species